GUGGGGAAUCUUGCGCAAUGGGCGAAAGCCUGACGCAGCCAUGCCGCGUGGAUGAUGAAGGUCUUAGGAUUGUAAUAUCCUUUCACCGGUGAAGAUAAUGACUGUAGCCGGAGAAGAAGCCCCGGCUAACUUCGUGCCAGCAGCCGUGGUAAUACGAAGGGGGCUUGCGUUGCUCGGAUUUACUGGGCGUAACGGGCGCGUAGGCGGACAUUUAAGUCAGGGGUGAAAUCCCGGGGCUCAACCUCGGAACUGCCUUUGAUACUAGGUGUCUUGAGUAUGUGCGAGGUGUGUUGAACUCCGAGUGUAGAGGUGAAAUUCGUAGAUAUUCGGAAGAACUCCAGUGGCGAAGGCGAGACACUGGCUCAUUACUGACGCUUAGGCGCGAAAGCGUGGGGAACAAACAGGAUUAGAAACCCUUGUAGUCC
rnacentral:rRNA from 1 species